UAUAGGUUUAAAUCCUUCGGAUGGAUCAACCAAUGUCCAUACAUCAUUGACCUUCAUGGACUCCAUUUCAGAUUCCAUGGCUCCAAGCCAUUUAUCAGAGUCAGACCUUUGCAUAGCAUCCAUAUAGGUGACGGGAUCCUCAUCGUUCUGAUCGAGACUAAUGGGAUCAUCACCCCAGACCAGAAAACCGUAGUAUCUAUCCGGUCGAUGCGGUACUCUACUGGAUCGCCUAACUGGUGCAACCUCAAUGGGUUCUGAGUUUGAUCUAAUCAAAUCAAACUCUAACGUUUCUAGUUGUCUGAUCCUCUACCUGUUGAACUUCAUCAAGCUCAACCUUAGAGCUGUUCAUUCCUUCACCAAGGAAUUUUUUCUCCAAGAAGAUAUCUCUAUUGCUGACGAACAACCUUUGUUCAUUAGCCUAGCAGCAAUAAUACCCUUUGGUUUCUUUUGGAUAGCCGACAAAAAGACAUUCUUCCGGCCUAACUUCCAGUUUGUCUGCUUUCAAACGACGGACGUAGGCUGGAGACCCCCAAACUUUA
rnacentral:lncRNA from 1 species